GAUGAACGCUAGCUACAGGCUUAACACAUGCAAGUCGAGGGGCAGCAUCAUCAAAGCUUGCUUUGAUGGAUGGCGACCGGCGCACGGGUGAGUAACACGUAUCCAACCUGCCGACAACACUGGGAUAGCCUUUCGAAAGAAAGAUUAAUACCGGAUGGCAUAGUUUUCCCGCAUGGGAUAAUUAUUAAAGAAUUUCGGUUGUCGAUGGGGAUGCGUUCCAUUAGGCAGUUGGCGGGGUAACGGCCCACCAAACCAACGAUGGAUAGGGGGUUCUGAAAGGAAGGUCCCCCCACAUUGGAACUGAGACACGGUCCAAAACUCCUACGGGAGGCAGCAGUGAGGAAUAUUGGUCAAUGGACGAGAGUCUGAACCAGCCAAGUAGCGUGAAGGAUGACUGCCCUAUGGGUUGUAAACUUCUUUUAUACGGGAAUAAAGUGAGGCAUGUGUGCCUUUUUGCAUGUACCUUAUGAAUAAGGACCGGCUAAUCCGUG
rnacentral:rRNA from 1 species